rnacentral:rRNA from 1 species
AAGCCAAGUAAAUCUAAUUCUUAAGAAUUAUUCAAUAAAGGUACAGCUUUAUUGAAAAAGGAAACAACCUAAACCUUAGGAUAAUGAAUAUUUUUAAAUAGGUAAAAGGCCAAGUUGGCCUAAAAGCAGCCAUCUUUAAAGAUAGCGUCAAAGCUUCACCUUAAACACACCUUAAAUCUCAUUAUUUUUUCAUAAUCCAACAAUUCUACUAAGCCAUUCUAUACUUUUAUAGAAAAGUUUAUGUUAGGACUAGUAACACAGAAUAAUUUCUCUUACAUGUAAGUUUAAAUCAACCCGAAUACCUCCUUGAUAAUUACUCAAAUUUGAACCUUAAGUAGUACCUAUUAAUUACAAAAACCCUACUUAACUUAUUGUUAAUCAAACAUAUGGAUAUGAAAGAAAGAUUAAAAAAUUAAGAAGGAACUCGGCAAACACAAGUCCCGCCUGUUUACCAAAAACAUCGCCUUUUGAAAAGUAUAAAAGGUAACGCCUGCCCACUGACAGUAUGUUUAACGGCCGCGGUAUUCUGACCGUGCGAAGGUAGCGUAAUCACUUGUCUUUUAAAUGAAGACUCGUAUGAAAGGCAUCACGAGAACUUAGCUGUCUCCUUAAUUCAAUCAGUGAAACUGAUACCCCUGUAAAAAAGCAGGGAUGAUUACAUAAGACGAGAAGACCCUGUGGAGCUUAAAACAUAAGCUACUUCUAUACUCUACUAACUUAUAGUACUAAAAUACAAACCUAGCCUAAGUUUUCUGUUGGGGCGGCUGUGGAGAAAAACUUAUCCUCCAUGAAGAAAAAACUUUGAUCUACCGCUCUUAGUAUUAGCAAGCCUAACUUAAAUUGAUCCAAUUUUUGAUCAACGGACCAAGUUACCCCAGGGAUAACAGCGCAAUCCAUUUCAAGAGUCCCUAUCGACAAAUGGGUUUACGACCUCGAUGUUGGAUUAGGACAUCCUAGUGGUGUAGCCGCUACUA